rnacentral:rRNA from 1 species
UACGAAGGGGGGCUAGCGUUGCUCGGAAUCACUGGGCGUAAAGGGUGCGUAGGCGGGUCUUUAAGUCAGGGGUGAAAUCCUGGAGCUCAACUCCAGAACUGCCUUUGAUACUGAGGAUCUGAGUUCGGGAGAGGUGAGUGGAACUGCGAGUGUAGAGGUGAAAUUCGUAGAUAUUCGCAAGAACACCAGUGGCGAAGGCGGCUCACUGGCCCGAUACUGACGCUGAGGCACGAAAGCGUGGGGAGCAAACAGG